GUGGGGAAUUUUGGACAAUGGGGGCAACCCUGAUCCAGCCAUCCCGCGUGUGCGAUGAAGGCCUUCGGGUUGUAAAGCACUUUUGGCAGGGAAGAAAAGGUUCUGGUUAAUACCUGGAGCCGCUGACGGUACCUGCAGAAUAAGCACCGGCUAACUACGUGCCAGCAGCCGCGGUAAUACGUAGGGUGCAAGCGUUAAUCGGAAUUACUGGGCGUAAAGCGUGCGCAGGCGGUUCGGAAAGAAAGAUGUGAAAUCCCAGGGCUUAACCUUGGAAUGGCAUUUUUAACUACCGGGCUAGAGUAUGUCAGAGGGGGGUAGAAUUCCACGUGUAGCAGUGAAAUGCGUAGAGAUGUGGAGGAAUACCGAUGGCGAAGGCAGCCCCCUGGGAUAAUACUGACGCUCAUGCACGAAAGCGUGAGGAGCAAACAGGAUUAGAUACCCUAGUAGUCC
rnacentral:rRNA from 1 species